rnacentral:rRNA from 1 species
AGAGUUUGAUCAUGGCUCAGAACGAACGCUGGCGGCAGGCCUAACACAUGCAAGUCGAACGCUCUCGCAAGAGGGAGUGGCGCACGGGUGAGUAACGCGUAGGAAUCUACCCAUUAGCCUGGGAUAACAGUUGGAAACGACUGCUAAUACCGGAUAUGCCCUUCGGGGGAAAGGUUUACUACUAAUGGAUGAGCCUGCGUUAGAUUAGCUAGUUGGUGAGGUAAUGGCUCACCAAGGCUCCGAUCUAUAGCCGGUCUGAGAGGACGAUCGGCCACACUGGGACUGAGACACGGCCCAGACUCCUACGGGAGGCAGCAGUGGGGAAUAUUGGGCAAUGGACGCAAGUCUGACCCAGCCAUGCCGCGUGAGUGAUGAAGGCCUUAGGGUUGUAAAGCUCUUUUAGUGGUGAAGAUGAUGACAGUAACCACAGAAAAAGCCCCGGCUAACUUCGUGCCAGCAGCCGCGGUAAUUC